ACGGAAGGCAGCAGUGGGGAAUAUUGCACAAUGGGGGAAACCCUGAUGCAGCGACGCCGCGUGAGUGAAGAAGUAUUUCGGUAUGUAAAGCUCUAUCAGCAGGGAAGAAAAUGACGGUACCUGACUAAGAAGCCCCGGCUAACUACGUGCCAGCAGCCGCGGUAAUACGUAGGGGGCAAGCGUUAUCCGGAUUUACUGGGUGUAAAGGGAGCGUAGACGGCGAUGCAAGUCUGAUGUGAAAGCCCGGGGCUCAACCCCGGCACUGCAUUGGAAACUGUGUUGCUAGAGUGCAGGAGAGGUAAGUGGAAUUCCUAGUGUAGCGGUGAAAUGCGUAGAUAUUAGGAGGAACACCAGUGGCGAAGGCGGCUUGCUGGACGACAACUGACGCUGAGGCGCGAAAGCGUGGGGAGCAAACAGGAUUAGAUACCCUGGUA
rnacentral:rRNA from 1 species